rnacentral:tRNA from 1 species
GCCCGAUUCGAGGUGCCGUCCAGGUUGUAUUCAAAAUCCGUUGGUGCUUACGCACCGUGAGGGUUCAAGUCCCUCCUCGGGCA